ACUCCUACGGGAGGCAGCAGUGGGGAAUAUUGCACAAUGGGCGCAAGCCUGAUGCAGCCAUGCCGCGUGUGUGAAGAAGGCCUUCGGGUUGUAAAGCACUUUCAGUAGGGAGGAAGGUGGUAGUGUUAAUAGCGCUAUCAUUUGACGUUACCUACAGAAGAAGCACCGGCUAACUCCGUGCCAGCAGCCGCGGUAAUACGGAGGGUGCAAGCGUUAAUCGGAAUUACUGGGCGUAAAGGGCGCGUAGGUUGUUUGGUAAGUUGGCUGUGAAAGCCCCGGGCUUAACCUGGGAAUGCCAGUCAAAACUGCCAGACUAGAGUACAGUAGAGGGUGGUGGAAUUUCCAGUGUAGCGGUGAAAUGCGUAGAGAUUGGAAGGAACACCAGUGGCGAAGGCGGCCACCUGGACUGAUACUGACACUGAGGCGCGAAAGCGUGGGUAGCGAACAGGAUUAGAUACCCUGGUAGGUCAGU
rnacentral:rRNA from 1 species